GAUGAACGCUGGCGGCGUGCUUAACACAUGCAAGUCGAACGAGAGAAGAUUGGUGCUUGCACUGAUCCGAUCGAGUGGCGGACGGGUGAGUAACGCGUGGGUAACCUGCCUCAUACAGGGGAAUAACAGUUGGAAAGGGCUGCUAAAACCGCAGAAGCGCACAGUAUCGCAUGAUACAGUGUGAAAAACAUCGGUGGUAUGAGAUGGACCCGCGUCUGAUUAGCUAGUUGGUGAGGUAACGGCCCACCAAGGCAACGAUCAGUAGCCGGCCUGGGAGGGUGAACGGCCAAAUUGGGACUGAGACACGGCCCAAACUCCUACGGGAGGCAGCAGUGGGGAAUAUUGCACAAUGGGGGAAACCCUGAUGCAGCGACGCCGCGUGAGUGAUGAAGUAUUUCGGUAUGUAAAGCUCUACCAGCAGGGAAGAUAAUGACGGUACCUGACUAAGAAGCACCGGCUAAAUACGUGCCAGCAGCCGCAGUAA
rnacentral:rRNA from 1 species